rnacentral:rRNA from 1 species
GACGAACCACACAAACGUUGUUCGGAUUUACUGGGCGUAAAGGGCGCGUAGGCGGCCAGCACAAGUCAGUUGUGAAAUCUCCGAGCUUAACUCGGAAAGGUCAACUGAUACUGUGCGGCUAGAGUGCGGAAGGGGCAACUGGAAUUCUUGGUGUAGCGGUGAAAUGCGUAGAUAUCAAGAGGAACACCUGCGGCGAAGGCGGGUUGCUGGGCCGACACUGACGCUGAGGCGCGAAAGCUAGGGGAGCGAACGGG